rnacentral:rRNA from 1 species
AGAGUUUGAUCAUGGCUCAGAACGAACGCUGGCGGCGUGCCUAACACAUGCAAGUCGAGCGCGAAAGGGGUAACCCGAGUAGAGCGGCGCACGGGUGCGUAACACGUGGGUAAUCUGCCCCGGAGGCCCGGAUAACCAUCCGAAAGGAUGGGCUAAUACGGGAUGAGCCCCCGCUGUCUUCGGACGGUGAGGGAAAAGGAUGGCCUCUGUUUACAAGCUAUCACUCCGGGAUGAGCCCGCGGCCCAUCAGCUAGUUGGCGGGGUAACGGCCCACCAAGGCAACGACGGGUAGCUGGUCUGAGAGGACGAUCAGCCACACUGGAACUGAGACACGGUCCAGACUCCUACGGGAGGCAGCAGUGGGGAAUUUUGCGCAAUGGGCGAAAGCCUGACGCAGCAACGCCGCGUGUGUGAUGAAGGUCUUCGGAUUGUAAAGCACUUUCGACCGGGACGAAAAAGCGGGUGCUAAUCAGCCUGCCUUGACGGUACCGGGAGAAGAAGCACCGGCUAACUCUGUGCCAGCAGCCGCGGUAAUACAGAGGGUGCAAGCGUUGUUCGGAAUUAUUGGGCGUAAAGCGCGUGUAGGCGGCCUGGCAAGUCGGGUGUGAAAGCCCUCAGCUCAACUGAGGAAGUGCGCCCGAAACUGCUAUGGCUUGAGUG